UAUUACCAUCAAAGAGGGACGGUAGCAGUCAACAGAGAAAAAAAAAAGUCAUUUCAAUUGUAAUUUUAAAAACCCUAACCCUAGCUCCGAUCAAACAGAAUGCAGAAACAGCCACCGCACACGGCGGAUUCCGGCAUGCCAAACCUCGCGAACAUCAAAAUCAAGUGUUCAUCACCACGUUUUCCACCACCGACCACUCCUUCCGCCACCGACACUCCGACCGCCGGUGCGCAGCGGAAAAUUGGAAUCGCGGUUGAUCUUAGUGACGAAUCUGCCUUCGCCGUCAAGUGGGCUGUCCACCACUACCUCCGUCCUGGUGACGCAGUUAUCCUUCUCCACGUCCGCCCUACCUCCGUACUCUACGGUGCUGAUUGGGGUUCUGUUGAUGUAUCCAUCGCCGAUACUGAUAACAUAGAGACUCAAAAGAAGCUUGAAGAUGAUUUUGAUGCGUUUACUUCUGCUAAGUCUUCUGAUUUGGCUCAGCCACUUGUUGAGGCGCAAAUUCCGUACAAAAUUCAUAUUGUGAAGGAUCAUGAUAUGAAGGAAAGGUUAUGUCUUGAGGUUGAGAGGCUAGGAUUGAGUGCAGUUAUCAUGGGUAGUCGAGGAUUCGGGGCUACUAAGAGAGGAAAUGAUGGGAGGCUUGGAAGUGUUAGUGAUUACUGUGUUAGGCAUUGUGUUUGCCCUGUUGUGGUUGUGAGGUAUCCUGAUGAGAAGGAUGGCGGAAAUGCUGCUCGUAAGGGCGGAGUUUCUGUGGCAUCUGCCUCAAAAGAACACGAGGAGGAAGGCGAGUACCAUGAUGCUUGUGAUGGUCGUCAAGGAUCACAACCAGCCAUAGGAAAAGGCUCGAGAACUGACAAUUGACUUAGAGUUGCUUAAGAAGUCCUUUGAAGAGACGGUGAACGUAAGGGCACAUUGUGAAAUGUUGGUGGAAAACAAACAAUUCAAAAUGCCUAGGUUCAACGUUCCUGGAGAGUCGAAUGACAUAUGAAUAUGCUACACAAAAUCUAUUUUGGAUGAAUGGAAUGAUAAGCGAAGAUGUUACACAUAAAAUCAAAUUGGAUGGUUGAGAUGUCAAAAAGGUCUUUCCUUUAUCCAAGAGAUGAUUCCAGGUGCGGAAGUUGGGUUAAGCAAUCCUUUUAGGCGACUUAUGUGAAAACCACUUGGUGUUUUGUUAUAUCCGGAGUCUCAUCUUCUGUAACUGAAUUGUGGUUUCCUCUCUUUCAGUUUAGUUUACCGUAGUUCGCUAGAUGAUGUUGUAUCUCUAAAGGUUGUUGUCUUCAUAGAGUUUCACUUAAACCUGCACCUUUUUAUCACUUGUUAUCUUUCUGGUGCAAAUCCAAAAUCUACUUUAAGAUGUAAUCUCUAUGCUGCUGUUGCCCAGAACAGUUGGUUCUUGUUUCUGUUUUCGCUGUUCUGAAGGCAAUGCAUACUUUGCCUUCCGCAAGUUCUUUAUUAAGCUUUAUAUGAA